CACUGCCGAGAAAAGCCUCUAGAUAGAAAAUAGGUGCCCGUACCGCAAACCGACACAGGUAGUCAAGAUGAGAAUUCUAAGGUGAGCGAGCGAACUCUCGUUAAGGAACUCGGCAAAAUGACCCCGUAACUUCGGGAGAAGGGGUGCUCUUUAGGGUUAACGCCCAGAAGAGCCGCAGUGAAUAGGCCCAAGCGACUGUUUAUCAAAAACACAGGUCUCUGCUAAACCGUAAGGUGAUGUAUAGGGGCUGACGCCUGCCCGGUGCUGGAAGGUUAAGAGGAGUGGUUAGCUUCUGCGAAGCUACGAAUCGAAGCCCCAGUAAACGGCGGCCGUAACUAUAACGGUCCUAAGGUAGCGAAAUUCCUUGUCGGGUAAGUUCCGACCCGCACGAAAGGCGUAACGAUUUGGGCACUGUCUCAACGAGAGACUCGGUGAAAUCAUAGUACCUGUGAAGAUGCAGGUUACCCGCGACAGGACGGAAAGACCCCGUGGAGCUUU
rnacentral:rRNA from 1 species